rnacentral:rRNA from 1 species
UACGUAGGUGGCAAGCGUUGUCCGGAUUUACUGGGUGUAAAGGGCGCGUAGGCGGGAUGACAAGUCAGAUGUGAAAUCCAUGGGCUUAACCCAUGAACUGCAUUUGAAACUGCCAUUCUUGAGUAUCGGAGAGGCAAGCGGAAUUCCUAGUGUAGCGGUGAAAUGCGUAGAUAUUAGGAGGAACACCAGUGGCGAAGGCGGCUUGCUGGACGACAACUGACGCUGAGGCGCGAAAGCGUGGGGAGCAAAC